AAUCAUUAGUUCCGAUUAUUUUUACUGAGGAAGUUGUUGGUCCAAUCAGACUAUUAAUCAGCUCAAGGCAUUAUGUUAAUAUUUUUCCAAAAAAUAAUUAUGUUUUUGCCCGUGGUACAGGCUGUUUUAAACUACGUGGUUGGGACGCGCUGCAAUCUUUAACAAAAAAGCUUAAUUUAUUGAAGCCAAAGCUUAUUACACCAACUAGAAAGUAUUUGUCAACCAUUCUGCAGUUGUUAGACAUGAAUAAUGCUGAGCUUUUGUGGCUCACAAAUCACAUGGGGCAUACUAAAGAUAUUCAUCAAAAUUGGUAUCGACGUGAGGAUUCUACUAUCGAAUUAACAAAAGUAGCAAAAGUUGUUCUUGCUAUGGAUAAUGGCGAUGCAAGGUGCAUUCAAAAUAAGAAAAUCGAUUCACUAUUAUAAAAUAGUUUUGAAGGAAUUGAGAUAUCAAAUGUUAAUACAGGAGGAAGUGCUAAUGUUUGCACUUAUUCAGAUGAAGAUGUUGGAGAUGCAAAUAGCAAUGUUUUAGAUGAAAAUAGCAAUGUCAUUAAUUAAUGUCGAACGUAAAAGAAUACAAAAUAAAAGACUAAACAUGCACAAAGAGUCAAAAAAAACUUGGAAAGGUUGGUCGGAAGAAGAAAACGCAUCACUUCGUAAAGCAUUUUUGAUAUAUAUCACGAGAAAGAUUCCGUGUCCGCUUCUUGAUGUUAAAAAAAUUAUCGAAAGUAUACCUUGUCUUCAAAGAAGAGGGCAUAAGAUCGUUAAAGACAAAUUAAACAAUAUUAUUAGAAAGAGAUGAUUUAUGCGUGUUUAUUUAUUUAUAUACAAAUAAUGAUGUUUU